CCGAGUUAGGGUGCUUUUCGCGCCCGACCUCCAACCCUUUGUCUACCUGACCAGAUGUUGCUUCGGCAGGCCCGCCGCCUCCCCUUAACCUGGGGGGUAGCCGCCGGGGGUCCCUUACCGGUCCCGGGCCCGCGUCUGUCGAUGGCCCUCUUAUAAACUCUUGCUUAAACGUGUCGUCUGAGUAAAACAAACAAAUAAAAUA
rnacentral:misc_RNA from 1 species